GCCAACACUAGCCCUAAGCAUGACCAAUACUAAUACCAAGCCAACACACACUAAACCAUUUACCCGCAUAUAGUAUAGGCGAUAGAAAUUUUAAUCUGGCGCUAUAGACAUAGUACCGUAAGGGAAAGAUACAAAACCUCUCAAGCACAAAACAGCAAGGACUAACCCCUGUACCUUUCGCAUAAUGGAUUAGCUAGAAACAAUUUCACAAAGAGAACUACAAGCCAAAUUCCCCGAAACCAGACGAGCUACCCAAGAACAGCUAAAAGAGCACACCCGUCCAUGUAGCAAAAUGGUGGGAAGAUUUUUGGGUAGAGGUGACAAGCCUACCGAGCCUGGUGAUAGCUGGUUAUCCAAGACAGAAUCUUAGUUCAACUUUAAGCUUACCUAUAGAACUACCUAAUCCCCCUGUAAGCUUAAUUGCUAGUCUAAAGAGGGACAGCUCUUUAGACACCAGGAAAAAACCUUAUAGAGAGAGUAAAAUCCUUAACUACCAUAGUUGGCCUAAAAGCAGCCAUCAAUUAAGAAAGCGUUCAAGCUCAACACUAGCCAUCUUAAAAAUACCAAACAUAUAGCCGAACUCCUCACACCACAUUGGAUCAAUCUAUCACCACAUAGAAGCAACAAUGCUAGUAUAAGUAACAUGAAUAUUUUCUCCACUGCAUAAGCCUAAAUCGGACCGAAAACCUCACCGAUACCUAACAGCCAGGCAUAGCAAGCACAAACAAGCCCAUGCUACCUUCACUGUUGACCCGACACAGGCAUGCCUCAAGGAAAGGUUAAAAAAAGUAAAAGGAACUCGGCAAACUCAAACCCCGCCUGUUUACCAAAAACAUCACCUCUAGCAUUACCAGUAUUAGAGGCACUGCCUGCCCAGUGACACACGUUUAACGGCCGCGGUACCCUGAC
rnacentral:rRNA from 1 species